AUCACAAGGUCAGGAGAUCGAGACCAUCCUGGCUAACACGAGUCUCUUCACCCCUAGUAUCAGUAUACAGGGGACAUUCAGUUGUUGACUGCCUGAUGAAUGUUUGCCAGUAAUUAGAACUGAGAGACACUCAAAGAUUCUGGACUGUCUUCUGAGCAGAGAAUAAAAAGUAGCUAUCAUCUGCCCACCACAGACAUGAAAAAACAAGAAAGACAGUUUGCAGAGAGGAGAGAAUGAAACAGGACUGUAGAGAGAAGCAGAGACAAGAAAUGGAUCUUCCCAUCUCGUCAUGAGCUUCCACUUCCAGGCUUUGAGUUCCUUGUAUCUAAUUCAUCUUUGUAACCCAGCACCUAGCACUGGCCUGAAAAGUAGGAGACACUCCAUACAUAUUUUUUGAUUGAAUCAUCAGGUUACUGCUUGGCUUAUAACUCCUCACUGGCUCCUGAUUGCCUGCGGAAUAAGAUUCACACUGUUUCAGCCUGGGCAACAUAGUGAUACUCCAUUUCUACAAAAACAUUAAAAAAUUAGCUGGG
rnacentral:lncRNA from 1 species